rnacentral:rRNA from 1 species
GUUCGAUUAUGGCUCAGAUUGAACGCUGGCGGGAUGCUUUACGCCGCAGGUCGAACGGCAGCACGGACUUCGGUCUGGUGGCGAGUGGCGAACGGGUAGGUAUCGGAACGUGCCUAGUAGCAGAGGAUAACUACGCGAAAGCGUAGCUAAUACCGCAUACGCCCACUAAGGGGGAAAGCAGGGGACCUUCGGGCCUCGCACUAUGCAGGAAGCGGCCGAUAUCGGAUUGGCUGGAUUGGUAGAGGUAACGGCUCACCAGACGUGAUCCGUAGCGCUGGUUGGAGGACGACCAGCCACACUAGGACUGGAACUGCGGCCCAGGCUCCUACGGGAAGCAGCAGUGGGGAAUUUUUGGACAAUGGGGAAACCUGAUCCAGCCAUCCCGCGUGUGCGAUGAAGGCCUUCGGGUUGUAAAGCACUUUUGGCAGGAAAGAAACGGCACGGGAUAAUACCCCUGCAACUGACGGUACCUGCAGAACAAGCACCGGCUAACUACGUGCCAGCAGCCGCGGUAAUACGUAGGGUGCAAGCGUUAAUCGGAAUUACUGGGCGUAAAGCGUGCGCAGGCGGUUCCGGAAGAAAGAUGUGAAAUCCCAGGCUUGCUUGCAAAGACUGCAUUUUUAACUACCGAGCUAGAGUGUGUCAGAGGAGGUGGAAUUCCGCGUGUAGCAGUGAAAUGCGUAGAUAUGCGGAGGAACACCGAUGGCGAAGGCAGCCUCCUGGGAUAACACUGACGCUCGUGCACAGCGUGGGGGCAAACAGGAUUAGAUGCCCUGGUAGUCCACGCCUAAACGAUGUCAACUAGCUGUUGGGGCCUUCGGGCGCUUGGUAGCGCAGCUAACGCGUGAAGUUGACCACUUGGGAGUAGAUGCGCAAGAUUAAGCUCCCAAAGGAAUUGACGGGGACACACAAGCGGUGGAUGAUGUGGAUUAAUUCGAUGCAACGCGAAAACCUUACUACCCUUGACAUGUCUGGAAUCCCGAGAUUUGGGAGUGCUCGCAAGAACCGGAACACAGGUGCUGCAUGGCUGUCGUCCAGCUCGUGUGUGAGAUGUUGGGUUGGUCCACAACGAGCGCAACCCUUGUGCAUUAGUUGCUACGAAGGGCACUCUAAUGAGACUGCCGGUGGCUCGCCGGAGGAAGGUGGGGAUGACGUCAAGUCCUCAUGGCCCUUAUGGGUGGGGCUUCACGUCAUGCAAUGGUCGGGACAGAGGGUCGCCAACCCGCGAGGGGGCAAUCCCAGAAACCCGAUCGUAGUCCGGAUCGCAGUCUACCCGCUCGACUGCGUGAAGUCAGAAUCGCUAGUAAUCGCGGAUCAGCAUGUCGCGGUGAGCACGUUCCCGAGGUCUUGUACACAUGUCACACCAUGGGAGUGGGUUUCAGAAGUAGUGCCCUUUGGCCUAACCCGUAAAGGAGGGCAUUCACAGUAGGAUUCAUGACUGGGGUGAAGUCGCCAGCUAAAGGCAACCCUGGCCACUACCUGAUCUUCCCAG